GAUCAGUUUAAAAUCAGUGACACAGAAGGACGAAUGAAGCCAGCCACGCGCACAUUUGUGAGAGCAGCUUUCCAGGCAAAGGUAACGAUAAGGGCAAAGGCCCCAGGUGAAACUGAGUCCAGCAUGUUUGGGAGUGACCCAGGAUUUCAGGGAUGCCAGGAUGAGAGAGAUGGACAGGAAGACAAGAAAGAGGCAAGUCAGAGAGAACUCCUCUUCACUUGGAAUACACUUACCCCAACGUUCUCACGCUUGCUAAGCAGCAUUGGGAGCCCUCUUCGGUGACUUUAGAUGUGUGUUGCGGCUGCCUCGGUGUCCAGGUCGAUGUAGGCACCCUGCCAACUCAGCCGUCCGUUCGGCUCACUGACCCCCGAACUCAAUGUAACUGUGCCUCCAGUGAGUUGAAGCGGUGGGAUAUUGGACAGCUCGGCAAGUCAUGGCGGAGCCUUGGCAAGUCACAGUGGGACAUCGGCAAGUCAUGGCGGGACCUCAGAUGCCACCAUGAACUGCGGCUCUGCCAUGACAGCUUGCCUUAGAGCCAACUGAGGAUGGACUGAAACCUCCAAAAACUCUCCUGUCUCAUGGUGAGAGAAAAAAACAUUUCGUUCUUCCUAGAGGAAAACAAGCAGCUCCAGGGGACUUCAGGGAAAAACGCAUCAGCGGAAUGGAGCAGUAGAUGCUAUGUGCUGCAAGAUCUGGAUAGUACCAUCAAUAUUUUGUUGAACAGAAGUAGUAAGAAAUAUACCUUAGGGAGGGGCGAAGAUGGCAGAUAGAUAACAGCUGGCUACAGAGGCUCCCUGAGAUAGUCAAUUUAGAAUUCAACAUAAUACAGAGUGGGGAGCCCCAAACAGAGGGAGAUGAAUUCUCUCGUCCCAAGAAGAAACUAAGGUGAGAGGAACCAACCAAACAUAUAGUGCUGGUGCUAUUAUUGGAACAGCUAAAGGUUCAGUGUUCCCACCGCAGCGGGCAACUUACCCAGGUGUCCGAGGUCCUC